UGGGGAAUAUUGCACAAUGGGCGCAAGCCUGAUGCAGCCAUGCCGCGUGUGUGAAGAAGGCCUUCGGGUUGUAAAGCACUUUCAGCUGGGAGGAAGGCGAUAAGGUUAAUAACCUCAUCGAUUGACGUUACCCGCAGAAGAAGCACCGGCUAACUCCGUGCCAGCAGCCGCGGUAAUACGGAGGGUGCAAGCGUUAAUCGGAAUUACUGGGCGUAAAGCGCACGCAGGCGGUCUGUCAAGUCGGAUGUGAAAUCCCCGGGCGCAACCUGGGAACUGCAUUCGAAACUGGCAGGCUAGAGUCUUGUAGAGGGGGGUAGAAUUCCAGGUGUAGCGGUGAAAUGCGUAGAGAUCUGGAGGAAUACCGGUGGCGAAGGCGGCCCCCUGGACAAAGACUGACGCUCAGGUGCGAAAGCGUGGGGAGCAAACAGG
rnacentral:rRNA from 1 species